rnacentral:tRNA from 1 species
UAUUAUUGAAGGAAAGCAGGGUCGAUUUAGACAAAAUCUUUUAGGGAAAAGAGUUGAUUAUUCCGGC